AUUUAAAAUUCACCUUGCAGCUGGACAGCUGAAUUGUGUGAUUUACAAGAGUAUAUAAAACAUUAUUUAAAAGAUAGAAUAUGGGUUAAUUAGGCAUAUUUACAAAUGGUCAUUAAAACGCUUAGUACUAAAAAUUACAUUAACUUAAGUUACCAGACAUAGGAAUAAAAGUUUUUUUAAAUCUUUCUGUAUUAGUUUCGAAUCGUUCAAACAGUCUAUUGUUCCUAAGUUGGUAAACCGACUCAUGUUUGGACAACCGGCAAUUUCUUCCCGUAGACUGUAAGAGGGUCGAAGUUCUGUUUCGUGGAUUUAAAGUCGAUUUGGAGUUCUUUACAUUUAUCUGCAUUAAGAAGUAAUCUGUUGGAAUUCGACCAGUUUUCUACUGUGGUAACUGCGUCUUGGGCUUUGCUGGUAUCGCCUUUUUUAACAACCUCAGAAACGGUUGUAUCAUCGACAUACUUCCAAGUAGAUACUUCAGUGAUUUUAAGAUCAUUGAUCAUCCAUAGAAAAAGCCAUGGCCCAAGUUUCGUGCCUUGAGGGACACCAGCCGGGACAGCACCCCACUCUGAAACGCAGUCGGUUGCGAGUUUAACUCUUUGUUUUCUGUCCAAUAGAAAAUCAAUAGUCCAGCGUACGACUGCCUUCGGAAUUGGUAAUCUGGAGAUCUUUACUGACGGGGAGUAAAGAAAACAGAGUUAGAACGAUAGAAAUAGUAUAUCGACAAAUCCACGGGAGACUAUUUGAGAGUUGGAUCUGCUGUUUUCUGAAGCGUUGUAUUACAGCUUAGUAUAGUUUAGCCAAACGUAUAUACAUAUAUGUAAUAUGAUAUAUAAAAUGAUAAGUUACCAUAUUUCUGCUGAAACUUCUGAAGUCUUUAAUUUCGUCGCAAUUAUACUCUGUAUGCACACACGAUUUAAUGCUACGCAGUUUUGUUUUCAAUAUUUCUCAUGAAAAUGGUAUCACACUGUGUUUCUGUGAAGAAUCGAGUGAUUACCAUUUCUAAUAUUGUAUGUAUAAGGGUCGGGACAAAAAUACGGACACAGACAGCGGCGACAUGAUAAAAAGAUUAUGCAAAUCAGAAUAAUUUUGUAUAUGUGGAUAUAUUAAACAUUGAUUUGUUUUGAAUUUUCAUCAUGAGUUAUACAAAAACGCCUGUCGAUGUUAACAAGAACGUAAAAUGAAUCUCUAACUGUCUAUAACAUGAAGUAUUGCAUAUAGUAACUAGUUAAAAAUCGCC